rnacentral:rRNA from 1 species
GAGUUUGAUCAUGGCUCAGAUUGAACGCUGGCGGCAGGCCUAACACAUGCAAGUCGAGCGGAUGACAGGAGCUUGCUCCUUGAUUCAGCGGCGGACGGGUGAGUAAUGCCUAGGAAUCUGCCUGGUAGUGGGGGACAACGUUUCGAAAGGAACGCUAAUACCGCAUACGUCCUACGGGAGAAAGCAGGGGACCUUCGGGCCUUGCGCUAUCAGAUGAGCCUAGGUCGGAUUAGCUAGUUGGUGGGGUAAUGGCUCACCAAGGCGACGAUCCGUAACUGGUCUGAGAGGAUGAUCAGUCACACUGGAACUGAGACACGGUCCAGACUCCUACGGGAGGCAGCAGUGGGGAAUAUUGGACAAUGGGCGAAAGCCUGAUCCAGCCAUGCCGCGUGUGUGAAGAAGGUCUUCGGAUUGUAAAGCACUUUAAGUUGGGGAGGAAGGGCAGUAAGCUAAUACCUUGCUGUUUUUGACGUUACCGACAGAAUAAGCACCGGCUAACUCUGUGCCAGCAGCCGCGGUAAUACAGAGGGUGCAAGCGUUAAUCGGAAUUACUGGGCGUAAAGCGCGCGUAAGGUGGUUUGUUAAGUUGGAUGUGAAAGCCCCGG